UACGGAGGGUGCAAGCGUUAUCCGGAUUCACUGGGUUUAAAGGGUGCGUAGGUGGGCAAGUAAGUCAGGGGUGAAAUCUCCGGGCUUAACCCGGAAACUGCCAUUGAUACUAUUUGUCUUGAAUACUGUGGAGGUCAGCGGAAUAUGUCAUGUAGCGGUGAAAUGCUUAGAUAUGACAUAGAACACCAAUUGCGAAGGCAGCUGGCUACACAAAUAUUGACACUGAGGCACGAAAGCGUGGGGAGCAAACAGG
rnacentral:rRNA from 1 species